GUGGAUGUAGCUCAGUGGUAGAGUAUUUGCUUGGCCUGUACAAAGCCCUGGGUUCAAUCCCCAGCACUGCA
rnacentral:tRNA from 1 species